AGUGAACGCUGGCGGUAGGCCUAACACAUGCGAGUCGAACGGCAGCACAGUAAGAGCUUGCUCUUACGGGUGGCGAGUGGCGGACGGGUGAGGAAUACAUCGGAAUCUACUUUUUCGUGGGGGAUAACGUAGGGAAACUUACGCUAAUACCGCAUACGACCUACGGGUGAAAGCAGGGGAUCUUCGGACCUUGCGCGAUUGAAUGAGCCGAUGUCGGAUUAGCUAGUUGGCGGGGUAAAGGCCCACCAAGGCGACGAACCGUAGCUGGUCUGAGAGGAUGAUCAGCCACACUGGAACUGAGACACGGUCCAGACUCCUACGGGAGGCAGCAGUGGGGAAUAUUGGACAAUGGGCGCAAGCCUGAUCCAGCCAUACCGCGUGGGUGAAGAAGGCCUUCGGGUUGUAAAGCCCUUUUGUUGGGAAAGAAAAGCAGCAGGUUAAUACCCCGCUGUUCUGACGGUACCCAAAGAAUAAGCACCGGCUAACUUCGU
rnacentral:rRNA from 1 species